CCAAAAAAUUAUUGUAAUUCAUUUCGUAACUUUUUGGGAUACUUUUGAGGCAUGCUCGCCGCGCCUGAGGUUGUGAAGCUGUUAGCAAAAAGGAAGCCGGCCGUGCUGAGUUAGUUUUGCGUGUACUGAAUUUUCGUGGGACAAGUUUGUGACGAUUUUUAUGGCCCUGCAACAACGUAUACCUUAUUUCGGUACUCACGCUUGUCGAAAACGCGACGAUCGAUUGCCGAGAGGGAUAACACGGGAGCGUGUUGCUAGCGCCGGCAGGACGCGUGAAAGAUAACGCUGAGGAGCUCAAGAACUUGACAUUUUUGUCUUCUGAGCAACUGAAAGCAGGCUUUGCACCCACGAAUCUGUUGAGUGCGACUAGAAGGCAUUCUGCCAGCGUGUAACAGGGUCUGGCUGAGAGCCUGUGUUGUAGCCGCCUCUGUGUACUUCGCGUACCAUCGCGUUGACUGAGGCCUCUACACGCAAUAUUCCUGAUAGUUCAAUAUACCAAAAUGAUACAUGCUUGUAAUUUACUUUAAGCUGACGUCAUCCGAUGUAGCUUCAUACGGCAACGACUGCUGCUUACCGGAUGUCAACUUUGCAUGGAUGCACAAGAAGCCUGGAACGAGCAUUAUAUAGAGCAAAAUAAACAUUUAAUCAUUUCAGAAGACUUCUUGCGUUUUGCUUAUGAAAUUGCACGUCACACAGAUUCGGUGGAUCGAGGCUUGUAAAGAUCAUUCGAAAUCAUUUUUAUUAAAUAAUAAAAUGAUUCUGUGCCAAGGCCGCGCGUGGUUCAGCAGUAGAAGCGAAAAUAAAAAUGCCGCGUCGAUCAGUGGAGCCGGCGUGGUGUAAAACCUGUCGUUCAAAACGCGCGCGCACAAAACCGACACCGGAAUGUGUUAAUACCAUCCGCUUGGUGCGCUACAGUCAAUUCGGCCGCUAGGCUCUAUGGGAGUGUCCGCUUUUGUUGAAAUUUUGUUCUCUAUGCAGCACCUGCGAAGCUUAGUCAGGCAGCGACGCCGGGCUCUUUCUGCAAAAUGCACCUGAGCGUCGUUGUUGGGUUCUUAUGCCAGCGUCUGCUUCGUCGCCCUUUCAUGGAAUCUCCACCAUUUCUUCAAAAUACGCUGUACAGCCAGAGGACGUCAUGCAUACUCAAGGGCGAAAUUCCAAGUAUCAGAAGACGAUUGCAAGGCUUCGAAGACAGCACGUGAAGACCCCCAACACAAAGUGCUUAAUUGCAGCUGUUUAAUGACGGACACACUGGCUUACACAUUCAAGAUGAGGAUGUUGGUGCGUCCUCAAUCAUUUCUGCAGCCAUUUUAUUUCGGCACGCAACCAUUCACAUAAUUUUGCUACCAUAAUUCACCCUCCUUCGCAGAAGUACAAGAAGAAACGUCAUAUUUUCUUCGUUCUAAAACAAUCCCAUUUUGAGCAAAUUAAUUGCUGGCGUGUAUGUGCAGUUUUUUUUUUUCGUUCUCUGGAUUGUUGCAACACGUCUUCUAUGUGUGUUGCUUGUGCAAAGUUAUUGCCAUCAAGAUAUUAAUUUCCGACUAUUCUUCAUUAUACCGCUGUCACGCGAUCGCCUUCGAUCGCGAUCAAGUCCGAUCCGGAUCUAAAUUGGUUCCAUCGCGCAGCUUGCGCAAAAGAACCAAUCGCGACCGAGAAAUUCAUAUCGGAUUCGGCUUGAUCCCUUUUGAAUGUGCGUUGUGUGACACCCGUAUUACUUUCAUUUCGCUGUUUCUUUCCGUUUUCAGGUAUCUGCCUCUUACAAUCUUGCUGCAAUAAAUUGUUGUCUACUA